UAUGGGGGGAGCAAGCGUUGUUCGGAUUUACUGGGCGUAAAGGGCGCGUAGGCGGUCGUGACAAGUCACUUGUGAAAUCUCCGGGCUUAACUCGGAACGGUCAAGUGAUACUGUCGGACUAGAGUACAGAAGGGGCAACUGGAAUUCUCGGUGUAGCGGUGAAAUGCGUAGAUAUCGAGAGGAACACCUGCGGCGAAGGCGGGUUGCUGGGCUGAUACUGACGCUGAGGCGCGAAAGCCAGGGGAGCGAACGGG
rnacentral:rRNA from 1 species